UAUGAGUCUGUGAUUCGCAGGUGGAGCCA
rnacentral:piRNA from 1 species